UAAUGUUCAGGAAACUUAAAUGUGAUUAAAACAGUAACGUUAAUGUUCUAGUUGUCAGUAAUCAGCUUUAAUUUGACACUAAAACAGACUCUGAUAGUUUUAAAUGACAUCAGUUUCAUUAAUUUGUUGAAAAUUGUCUCAUUUGUUGUUGUGAUGUUGCUGCUGAUUCAUUAAAAGCAGAUGAUCCGUGUUGAAGAUACGUUUAGUUCUAGUAUCAGAAGUACAAGAAGGAAAAUGGAAGUUUAGUUCUGCUACAUCAAAGAUUUCAGGAUUAAAAUAACUAAAUGAGUCUUUAUGCCUCAAACUUUAUUUUGCAAUAAAGAAAUAAUGAAAUAAUCACAGAUAAUAAAAAUAUAAAUAGCAGAGAAAACCUGAGAGAAUAAUUUCCUGAAAAGUCUGUGAAGGAAAAGCAGCUUUUUAUCCUGAAAGAUCAGAAUCGGCUCAAACAUCUGCAUCUGACAGCAUCAAGUCAACCAGAAAGAAAAGAAAAAAGAAAAUGACUUCUUUCUCAUCACAUCUGUUCCGCUGCUCACAGUCUGCUGCUGCUCACAUUCUUCACAUUUAUAGUCCACUUUUAAAAGUUCAGCAGACAGGUGCUCUGCUUUGGACUGUGAUGAUGUCGUUGGUGAUGUGGAGAGUGAAGUUUCCGUUUCACCCACAGCGUGCUUUAGGGCAGCCGGGUCGGACUUGAUGUUUGAAAUACUGACCGACAGCUCAGAUUUAACUGUCUGUAGUUCCGUUUUGAUGGGUAUUAAACUUUCUUUCAAAGCCGCCAGGAGCUGGGUCUUUAAAAUAACCGCCGUCUCGUUACAGAGUGAAAGUAGCAAUUCCUCCUUAAGGUCAGAGAUUGCAGCAUCUGAGGGCCUCUUCAAAAGAAGACGUAGUUGAUGAAGGCGUUCUGGAGCAGGACCAGAAAGACCACGACCAAGCAGCCUUGAGAUCUUAGGCAGCAUCUCCCUCAGGUCCCUCUCUAUCUCCCCACACAUCCACCAACCACUGGAACACAUCUCCAAAGUUCUGCUGGGCCAGCUCAGCUUCCCCUCAGAAGAAGUGCUGCCACCUGCCAGAUGAAGGAGCCUUUUGAGAGGCAGCUGGCAUCGUGAUUGGACUGUACUUUGGUCUGUUCCAGUCCAGCUUCAGCUCCAGAGACGGCAGGCGGGACGAGUCAACGGAGGCCUGGUGGACGAAGACAUGCAGCUGAGUACAAUCCAGAAAACAACAGAGGAGGAGUGUAGCAGCCCAGAGCCAGAACAGAGUAGCAUCGUAUGUCUCUUAGAAAACAUCAUAGUAGAGCCUUUGGUAUGAAAAAACACCAUCAUAUACAUCGUAUAUUGUACAAAUAACAAGUCAAAGGAAAGAGACAUACAUUGUAGAAUUGUAGUAAUUGUGGGCUGACUGAUUUACUGAUUAUCAGUAUUUUGUUUUUUUACCGAUUUACGGUAAUAAAUACAUUUAAAAAUGGCGCUACUUUGGCUCUGAACCUUUAUCUACCUGUGGUCGCUCUGUCUUCUGGAGUGAUUUGAUUGGUUAUACGUCAUGAAUAAAACUCCUUUAACUUAACAUCUGUACACAAAACAAAAACGUAUCAACAAAGUUUUCUGUUAGAGUUUGUGUUCUUGUAAGUUUAACUCCCAAGAUUUUAAAUACUUUCAUUUACUGCAAAUGAAUAUCUACUCCAAAUGUCUCACUAAUAACCAUUAUCAGCCUUAAAAACCCACAAAACACCCCUCUAUACUGGACCACACUUAGUACAGUCCGGUUCCCCUUCUAUAAAUCUGCUUGGAAUCUUCCACUUCCUGUUUGUCAAAGUGGCCUUCUACUUGGACAGGUUUUGUUGGAGCUCAUGCAACAAACAUUUUGGGUAACUGCACUUUAAUAUGGAUGGAUGACACUGAAUUAGAGUCUGUUUUAAUGAGACUGAGUUAAGAUGUGUAGCUCUGUCAUUAAAUAGGAAAUUAUUUCUCAGAAUUCACAGAGGAAAGUCUGAAAUGUUUGCUAGGUUAGCGUCCCACAUGUUCUUUGGCUCAGCUAAAGCUAACUCUCUCCAACUUGUGGAUCUCUUGAGUUGCUUGUUGUUAAAAUAUCUUGCUAGAGGUGCUGAAGCUCAGAAAGUCUGAGAUGUUUGUUCAAAAUAAGCUCAUUCUCAAGUCUUAUCUGAACUGUCCUCUUUUGUUUGAACUUUCCCUAAACUUAGGAGUUAAUGACAGAGCAGCACAUCCAGACUCAGUCUCAUUUAUGUAGAGAUUAAACUUCAGUGUCAUUCAUUGAUGUUAAAGUGCAGUUUUUCAAAUGUUUGUUGCACAUGCUCCCGACCAAACCAGUCCAGGUGGAAGACGAUGUGAAGAGAAAGCUCCAGAGGAUGAAUAUCACACAUUUACGUUGGAAAUAAAUGUCCUUUAAUUAGACAUUGUCAUGCAAAAGUUGGAUUUCCCUUUAAUGAUGUUCAAAUCUUUGUUGAGUGUUUUGUUGAUGUUGGUUUCUAAAUGUUUUCUGACACUCGGCCCCAAAGAUUAAAACCUUUUACGGCUCACAAGCUGCAACAAUUCA